rnacentral:rRNA from 1 species
UACGAGGGGGGCUAGCGUUGUUCGGAAUUACUGGGCGUAAAGCGCACGUAGGCGGCCUGAUAAGUCAGGGGUGAAAUCCCAGAGCUCAACUCUGGAACUGCCUUUGAUACUGUCAAGCUAGAGUAUGGUAGAGGUAAGUGGAACUCCGAGUGUAGAGGUGAAAUUCGUAGAUAUUCGGAAGAACACCAGUGGCGAAGGCGGCUUACUGGACCAUUACUGACGCUGAGGUGCGAAAGCGUGGGGAGCAAACAGG